rnacentral:rRNA from 1 species
AUGGCAGCAGAAAAUUGUUGUUUUUGUGAUCAAGAGGAGACAAGUAAUCAUUUAUUGUCAUAUUUGUUUACUACAUUAAUCUGGCGCAUGGUUCAUGUUACAUACAAUUUAGCACCGCCAAUGAGCAUUUCAAAUUUGUUUGAAAACUGGUUAGGUGGUAUUCAUCAUAAGUUGAAGGGCCAAACUUGUGUGGGAAUUUGUGCUAUUCUCUGGGCAAUAUGGAAUUGCCGGAAUGAUUGCGUCUUUAACAAACCAUCUUCUCUAAAUUUCUUGCAGGUUAUCUACAGAGCUACAGCUUCAACACGUAUGUGGCCAUCACUGCAGCGUGUGGAUGCACGGGCGCUUAGGUGCAGCCGACUAGAAACGGUUGCACAAAGUUUGUUUAACCAGUUUGGCUGGUGA